rnacentral:rRNA from 1 species
GACGAACCGUGCAAACGUUGUUCGGAAUCACUGGGCUUAAAGGGCGCGUAGGCGGGCCAGCCAGUCUGUGGUGAAAGCCUCCAGCUUAACUGGAGAAGUGCCGUGGAUACUGCUGGCCUCGAGGAGGAUAGGGGCAUCUGGAACGGUCGGUGGAGCGGUGAAAUGCGUUGAUAUCGACCGGAACUCCGGUGGCGAAGGCGAGGUGCUGGGUCCUUUCUGACGCUGAGACGACGAAAGCGUGGGUAGCAAACAGG